rnacentral:rRNA from 1 species
ACCUGCGGAAGGAUCAUUACCUAGAGUUGUAGGCUUUGCCUGCUAUCUCUUACCCAUGUCUUUUGAGUACCUUCGUUUCCUCGGUGGGUUCGCCCGCCGAUUGGACAAAACUUAAACCCUUUGUAGUUGCAAUCAGCGUCUGAAAAAACUUAAUAGUUACAACUUUCAACAACGGAUCUCUUGGUUCUGGCAUCGAUGAAGAACGCAGCGAAAUGCGAUAAGUAGUGUGAAUUGCAGAAUUCAGUGAAUCAUCGAAUCUUUGAACGCACAUUGCGCCCCUUGGUAUUCCAUGGGGCAUGCCUGUUCGAGCGUCAUUUGUACCUUCAAGCUCUGCUUGGUGUUGGGUGUUUGUCUCGCCUUUGCGUGUAGACUCGCCUCAAAACAAUUGGCAGCCGGCGUAUUGAUUUCGGAGCGCAGUACAUCUCGCGCUUUGCACUCAUAACGACGACGUCCAAAAAGUACAUUUUUACACUCUGACCUC